GAAAUGCGAUACGUAAUGUGAAUUGCAGAAUUCAGUGAAUCAUCGAGUCUUUGAACGCACAUUGCGCCCCCUGGUAUUCCGGGGGGCAUGCCUGUCCGAGCGUCAUUGCUGCCCUCAAGCACGGCUUGUGUGUUGGGCCCCCGUCCCCCCCCGAGGGGACGGGCCCGAAAGGCAGCGGCGGCACCGUGUCCGGUCCUCGAGCGUAUGGGAAGCAACUUUUUGUCACCCGCUCCUGUAGGUCCGGCCGGCGGCCUGCCCAACCCCAACCUUUUUUUCAACCAGGUUGACCUCGGAUCAGGUAGGGAUACCCGCUGAACUUAAGC
rnacentral:misc_RNA from 1 species